AGGUCAGUAGUUCAAGGGUGGAACGGCGGUCUCCAAAACCGCAUGUUGGGGGUUCGAGUCCCUCCUGACCUG
rnacentral:tRNA from 7 species